AUUGAACGCUGGCGGCAGGCCUAACACAUGCAAGUCGAGCGGAGCGGCGGACGGGUGAGUAAUGCCUAGGAAUCUGCCUGGUAGUGGGGGAUAACGUCCGGAAACGGGCGCUAAUACCGCAUCCUAUCAGAUGAGCCUAGGUCGGAUGGGCUAGUUGGUGGGGUAAAGGCCUACCAGGGAGACGAUCGGUAACUGGUCUGAGAGGAUGAUCCGUCACUCUGGACCGGAGACAGGGUCCAGACUCCUACGGGAGGCAGCAGGGGGGAAUAUUGGAAAAUGGGCGAAAGCCUGAUCCAGCCAUGCCGCGUGUGUGAAGAAGGUCUUCGGAUUGUAAAGCACUUUAAGUUGGGAGGCGUUACCAACAGAGUAAGCACCGGCUAACUUCGUGCCAGCAGCCGCGGUAAUUC
rnacentral:rRNA from 1 species